rnacentral:sRNA from 1 species
UAUUCUACCCUACGGGGAAGGAUGAGAAGCUUCGACUAAGGUUCGACUCGAGCGCCAGCGAGAGAACGUUGCCGCAGGCAACGGCCCGAAGGGCGAGGCGCUUUAGCGCCGAGUUAUCCUUCCCCCACCACCA